CAAGUUGGUUCAGGUGGAGGAGGUGCCUGAGGACUGAGGAGAAAAAAAAAGAACACAUUACAACAUUUUUUUAAGAUCUGCAUGAAGCAACACCAGAAGUGAUUGUCGCCUGGAAUUGGACAUCCAUUUAUGAGGCUACUGCCAUACCUCCAUAGAAGUUUUAGUUAUAAUUACGGUACAUGGACUGUGUAUAUAUAUUUACUUCUCUUUUGUCAUGGUGUCCUCAUACUCUAAAUAAAUAAUAACAAGUGAAAUUGCAGUGCCUAAAAAGCUAUUUCAAAAGCAAAGAUUAACUUAGUUAAGUUAUGAUAAUAUUAUCACUGUGGAAGUGAUAACCAGGAAGUUUACUGAAAAAAAGUCUUUUAUUAUUCCAAUAUCUUCUUCUUUAGGCUUCUAUCUUUGUUACAGUGGGAAGGACAAUAAGUUUAUAUAAGCAGGUUGAGAUGCAAAGAUAAUUAGAAUACUACCAGUAUGUUAAUAGUCCAAAAUAAUAAAGUUUCCAUCCCAUUCACAGCUCAGUCCUGGGAGCAAUCCAGCAACAGUUCUGUUAGGAUAUGGUGUAAGCCUAACAAGUUGUCCAGGCAAUAUAUGUGUUCUAUCACUUUAAAUGAGUUCUGUAACUUUAAGAUGUAAUGCUGAGUAAUUGUACUGAUGAGUCAUUGUAACUGACUGCUGACUGACUGCUGACUGCAAUUAUCCUAAUUGUACUGUUGAGUCAUUGCACUGCUGACUUCACUUAUCUUAAGUGGAUAAUUACUAGUGUAAACUGUAUAUAAGGAGAGAGCCGAGCUAUAUCAUUGUUGGUCAGAAUUGCUUGACUUGUUGGUUGGAACUGUUACCGUCAUGUGUGAAGAAGUGGAUGGAUCUGCUACCAUCGUGAUUUGUUACCAGCAUUGAAUUGCUGUUUAUUACCUACUGCUGUUUGUAUGGUAAGAAGAUAUCUGUAACUUCGGACUGAUUUGAAUGGCUAAAGACUUGGAUUGAUAUAAAGAUUAUGCAAUUGUUUUUCACUACAAAGUAAAAGCUUUGUUAAACCAG